ACCAGACUCCUACGGGAGGCAGCAGUGAGGAAUAUUGGUCAAUGGACGAAAGUCUGAACCAGCCAUGCCGCGUGCAGGAAGACGGCUCUAUGAGUUGUAAACUGCUUUUGUACAAGGGUAAACCUGAAUACGUGUAUUCAGCUGAAAGUACUGUACGAAUAAGGAUCGGCUAACUCCGAGCCAGCAGCCGCGGUAAUACGGAGGAUGCGAGCGUUAUCCGGAUUUAUUGGGUUUAAAGGGUGCGCAGGCGGAAGAUCAAGUCAGGGUUAAAAUGGAGGGGCCAAACCUCUUCGAGCCGUUGAAACUGGUUUUCUUGAGUGAGUGAGAAGUAUGCGGAAUGCGUGGUGUAGCGGUGAAAUGCAUAGAUAUCACGCAGAACUCCGAUUGCGAAGGCAGCAUACCGGCGCUCAACUGACGCUCAUGCACGAAAGUGUGGGUAUCGAACAGGAUUAGAUACCCGAGUA
rnacentral:rRNA from 1 species